rnacentral:rRNA from 1 species
UGGGGAAUAUUGCGCAAUGGGCGAAAGCCUGACGCAGCAACGCCGCGUGAGUGAUGAAGGUUUUCGGAUCGUAAAGCUCUGUCAGAAGGAAAGAAUAGUCUCGUUGCUAAUACCAGCGAGAUUUGACGGUACCUUCAAAGGAAGCACCGGCUAACUCCGUGCCAGCAGCCGCGGUAAUACGGAGGGUGCAAGCGUUGUUCGGAAUUACUGGGCGUAAAGCGCGUGUAGGUGGAUUCAGAAGUCAGGUGUGAAAGCCCCAGGCUCAACUUGGGAAGUGCGCUUGAAACCAUGAAUCUAGAGGUCCGGAAGGGAUCGGGGAAUUCCCAGUGUAGAAGUGAAAUUCGUAGAUAUUGGGAGGAACACCGGCGGCGAAGGCGCCGAUCUGGACGGAUACUGACAC